rnacentral:sRNA from 1 species
AAUAUCCGAUAAGUGAGGCUACUUAAGGGAUAUGGACUGCUGCCGCAAAGCGAUGGAGACAUCACUAGUUGGUUUGAACAGUUAUCGUCGUAUCAAGGCGUUGACUAAUGCAGUUUCACCGCCCUUUUGAGCUAAAGCCCAAACGGA